rnacentral:rRNA from 1 species
UACGUAGGGGGCUAGCGUUGUCCGGAUUUAUUGGGCGUAAAGAGCGUGUAGGCGGCCAGGUAGGUCUGCUGUGAAAACUCGAGGCUCAACCUCGAGACGUCGGCGGAAACCAUCUGGCUAGAGUCCGGAAGAGGAGAGUGGAAUUCCUGGUGUAGCGGUGAAAUGCGCAGAUAUCAGGAAGAACACCCGUGGCGAAGGCGGCUCUCUGGGACGGUACUGACGCUGAGACGCGAAAGCGUGGGAGCGAACAGG